GUAGUACUCCCUCUGUCCCAAAUUUCUUGUCUUAGAUUUGUCUAGAUACAGAUGUAUAUAAUACUAAAAUGUGACUUGAUACAUCCGUAUCUAGACAAAUCUAAGACAAGAAUUUUGGGACAGAGGGAGUAGUAA
rnacentral:pre_miRNA from 1 species